CAGGGCUUGUUCAAGGCCAGGUAGCUACAACAGAGUCAAGGCUGCUGCUGGGAAAGACUGUAGUUGUUUCCUGAGUGGAGGGAGUUGGAGGCUGGCAAACACAGAGAGGAGGGGGAGCUAGAGAUGUAGGAAGAAGGUCUGGGAAAUAGCAACAAGAGGUAGGACAAUACAGGGACUGUUGCUGCUUGUUAUGGGGUCCCUGGGCUGGUAACCCAGGCCCAUCCUCUACCAGCCACUGGGGAGCGGCAAGGAUGUUGGAGGCAUCAGCCAGACCACAAGUCUGGAAAGAUUGUGAAUUGCCCAGAAAGGGAGGACUUUAGUGACCAGGUCAGAGGGCCAAGCCACAGAGAGGAAGCUGCACACCCAGGAGUGAGUGGUGCAGCAGCAGGAGAAGAUAAUACCGGAAGGAGAGUGCAAGUUGCCAGAGCUGAUCCCCAGGAUGGCCAGCAGGAGGUGCCACUGUGAUGGACAAAGAUUGGCAGAAGACAGGAAUCCUUAAUGAACUGUAACUGACAAUAUCAGGGAAAGUCCUUGUGCUUGCCAAUGGUUACCCUGCCCUGGAGACGCCAAAUUUAAUUAUCUAUAUGCUAUUGGACUCUCCCAGCGUUAGAGGGUAAUUAAUCCAUGCAUUGCUGUGGACUUGCUGACAUCUGUAUUGUGCCAUUCCAUAGGAUCAGAGGUGCAGUUUGGAUAAGCAAUCAACUGGUUAGCCUGUGUCUAGUCAUUAUUCUCAGGAUGAUGUCAGCAUACCCACACUAGGGCAUGAGACAGUUUUUCUGGGAAUGACUUUAUUGUGCCAGCCAGUCAGUGGCUGAAUGAUUCCCAGAAGUAUUUCUGUUAGGGGUAGUGAUGACCAUCUGAAAGCAGCUGCUGUAAAUAUGUACCAGAGCUGGCCACUGAAGCCUAGGAAAGUGUAAUAUUUUCUUUCUUCGUAUGAAUGGAAACCUGAUACUGCAGUGAGGGACACCUUAGAAAUACAUGCAAUGAGAUAUAAGCUUAUCUUCUUCCAUUCAUUUUCACGAGCAGAGGGAAGUCUGUGCCUAGGAGCGCAGACUAGAGGAGUGCGGAGAUGGACUGUGCUGCCUUCACAGCAUGCUCCUCUUUGUCCCCAAGAGAGGGAACUUGGAUGCGGGGAGUGGGUUGAGGGAAGGGCAGGAGGAGGCUGAAAGAUCUCUCCCAGAUUCUUCCCCCAUCAUACAGAGUCACCCCCCUCCAGGCUGAGGCUCCAAGAGCAGCCAUGUUCAGGAAAGCCUCCUUCAACAUUGUCCCUGUUGGGCAUGCGAUUCACGGGAGCUAGAUGAGUUUGGGGACCAUUGGAGAGCAGAGUGUUCUCCACUGGAACACAGGGCAACUAUGCGUUUGCAGAUGGAACUGGUAACUUCUUCAGGAAUGCUUAUGGGGAAACAGCUUCCCGAGAGAGAACUACAAUGAAAUUCAGUUAAUUGAAACUCAUUGAUUCUUUCCUCCCCCCCCCCCCCCCCCAAUUUUUGUUUGAGAAUAAUCCACAAGUAGGAGAAUUUGACCUUAAAUAACUAUUUGGUUAACUUUGCAUGCAUACAUACAUACUACAUGACUUGGUUACCCCUACAACUGAUUCCAAUAUUUUUUCAGAGUAAGCUUUGCAUUGUCUGCUGGGGUGAGUGGAACAAAAUAUUCGAAGCUCCUACCAUUUUUUUUUUUUUAACUCCCUGAUAACUUAAUCUCCUGAAUUCCAUUCACUCGUCCCCUCACUCUUUCUCAGUGCCUCCAACCAGGACAUUUGGAUUAAUGAGGAGAACUAAGGACUGGGCUGUGUUUUGUCGACACCUUUUGCAGUGAAAAUGCAUAUUUGCCACAAACUGGCACCGAUUUUACAAACUAAUCUGAAAUGUUUGAGCACAAUGAUUUUUUUAAGUUGUUGCCACCACUAAUACUAUGACUCAGAACAACUGGAAAGAACAAAAUUAAAAACAGCAAAAAAUGCACAUCUUCUCCCCACGCAAUACUUAGGGCUUACUUAUACAGCUGCAUUCUGUGCUUUGCUAAGAUGCAAUAGAGCCAUGGGGACCGACCAACAUUGAGUCAUCACCCACUGAAUAUCAAUCUAAUUACAGGAAUUUUUUGUGGGUGUGGCUUUUCAGUUCUCAUUUUCGGCUUUCUCUUGGCUCGCGAAAUCUAGAGGACCCCACUGUCUCUGCUGGUCUUAUUAGGUGGCAAAGGGCGGGAAUUACAGUAGAGGUGGGUGACAUGAGAUUACAAUCGAAUAAUAUUCCUACACAUGUGUAGGAGUUAAACCCUGAGAUUGUUAGAGCACUAGUGAAAACUCAUAAAAUAUCAAAAUGAGAAAUGACCAUGUUCUGAAAAUAAAACCUGGGAGUUUCAACUCUGUCACCUCUAGAAAAGCCCAGUGGGAGGGAUAGGAUUGCUAGAAUUAAAGGAGGCCUCCUGUUCCAAAUUUAUCAUUUGACCAAAUCUGAAGGCAUCUUCCUUUGCGGGGAAAAAAAAAAAACAGGAAAUGAUUCCUAUUCAGCUUCGGGGGCCACUUAAAGGUUAUGGUGCCAGUUUCAUUUGUGGUAAUAAACAGCAAAAUGCUUUAUUUUACUGAGCACAAAAUGUGAAAUGUUUUCAACCCAGUCAGUAACGGGUGAGAAUCCAGUUUGAGGCAUUCUUUGGCUGUUUUUUCCCCAUCUCUGAUAUUUAACUACAACUGGAGGUUUUCUACUGCUGGUUUGUUUUGGUUGUAAGGCAGGAUUAUUGUGUGGGUGUGGUUUUUUUUUUUUUUUUUAAUUUGAUACAGUCCUUUUAAUAGUGAUUUAUAUAUGGUGCUAUCCCAUUGAUGGAACAUAAAUCAGUGCAGAUGACUUGUUGAAUGAAAGGCAAACCUAAUAAGUGUUGAUUAAAAUAAGGUAUACUUAUCUAAACUGGCAUGCUUGGCUGCAUGCUGCUACAAAAUCAGUCUUUGGAUUCCAUAAAAUCAUAGUGUAAACUUCAAAGCAACAAACUGAGAUUAGACACAUCUGACCAAAACAAAAACGCUGAGACAUAUGAAUUCUCACCAAUGUUUGUACUUCAAUGGACCAUACAUGAAAACAGCUGAGAUUGAGUUUAUUUUUUAAGACAAAAGAAUAUAUGAAAUCACUCUUUUGAUUAAGUUGGUUGUAACUGUACCAUAUCCUUAGAGUGAAAUAAAGAAGAAAAGCAAUAACUGCAUUUACAGAUAGUAAAGGCCCAUACAUUGGAGUAUAUUUCUAUAUAUUGCUGUUGUAAAUAUUUAUUUGCUGUAUAAAGACUUUGACAAUAAUUCAGGUAGCUCUUAAGAAAACGGUGAUAAUUUUUUUGACUUUUCCAAAAGUGAGAGAACUUUACAAAAGGGAUCUUAAAUAUUUUUGAUGCCAUUCAAAUAUAAAAUCAAUUUGUUUUUCAGGAUGAAUUUUUUAUUCAUGUGCUUACUGUUGGGCAUGUGCUUAAGUGCCUCUAGAAUUUUCAGUUUUGCAUUUAGUUUUUAAUUGACAGUCCCUGGGGCAGUUCUGCAGCUGGUGUAAAUUGUCAUUGUUCCAUUGACUUCAGUGCCCCCUAAUGAUUCAGUCUGUAGCUGGCGCACAUACUAUGUAUAGCUGUCACUUAAGAUGGGCCAAGCAUUUCUACUCUAAAGGUUGUUUGUUUUUUUUUAGUUGCUAUAACUUUCUAAAACUUUCACUUUUUAGGCUGAAUUUUUCUGCCCAUUAGGUGAUUGUCUGUACUCAAACUUUCAAAACAUGCUGAAUCUAGGCAGAGCUUAUUGCCUCUGCUGUGAAUGUGCUUGAAUUAAUAGGCUUGAAGUCCUCUUCUCUUCCGUAUAGCUUGAUGUUUGUUAGUGGUUUCAUAUUCUAACACCUUGCUAGUGGGAAUGAUUGGCCUAGUGAGGUCUAUUGUUAUACACUUUAACAAUGUGUGUAAUGCUGCUGAUUGUGGGUGAUAAAAUGACAAAGGACUCUAUGCAUUAGAUUUGUGUGACAUAAUUUGUUACAAAAUAACUAUGAAGAACCAUGUCAUAUGAGGGAGGCAGAUUCAAGCAUAAAAUCUACGUUCUUACAACCUGAGGGCUGGCCUCCACUAUGAGGAGAUAGAUGCUGCUGCAGGUCUAGUGAAGGCCCAUUAAAUCAAUGGCAGAGCGCUCUCUGGUCAACCCCAGUACUCCAGCUCUCCAAGAAGA